rnacentral:rRNA from 1 species
AGCUCGUAGGCGGUUUGUCGCGUCUGCUGUGAAAUCCCGAGGCUCAACCUCGGGUCUGCAGUGGGUACGGGCAGACUAGAGUGUGGUAGGGGAGAUUGGAAUUCCUGGUGUAGCGGUGGAAUGCGCAGAUAUCAGGAGGAACACCGAUGGCGAAGGCAGAUCUCUGGGCCAUUACUGACGCUGAGGAGCGAAAGCAUGGGGAGCGAACAGGAUUAGAUACCCUGGUAGUCCAUGCCGUAAACGUUGGGCGCUAGAUGUGGGGACCAUUCCACGGUUUCCGUGUCGUAGCUAACGCAUUAAGCGCCCCGCCUGGGGAGUACGGCCGCAAGGCUAAAACUCAAAGGAAUUGACGGGGGCCCGCACAAGCGGCGGAGCAUGCGGAUUAAUUCGAUGCAACGCGAAGAACCUUACCAAGGCUUGACAUAUACCGGAAACGUUCAGAAAUGUUCGCCCCGCAAGGUCGGUAUACAGGUGGUGCAUGGUUGUCGUCAGCUCGUGUCGUGAGAUGUUGGGUUAAGUCCCGCAACGAGCGCAACCCUCGUCGUAUGUUGCCAGCACGUAAUGGUGGGAACUCAUAUGAGACUGCCGGGGUCAACUCGGAGGAAGGUGGGGAUGACGUCAAAUCAUCAUGCCCCUUAUGUCUUGGGCUUCACGCAUGCUACAAUGGCUGGUACAAUGGGCUGCAAUACCGCGAGGUGGAGCGAAUCCCAAAAAGCCAGUCUCAGUUCGGAUUGGGGUCUGCAACUCGACCCCAUGAAGUCGGAGUCGCUAGUAAUCGCAGAUCAGCAACGCUGCGGUGAAUAC